CCCGAGUGCCGCCCGUUGAGGGCGGCUUUUCCACGGUGUAAGGAGCCGUGGGAAUAAGGAGAGGGCAGGACUGGUGUCAGCCGCCGCGGUAAUACCAGCUCUCCGAGUGGUGGGGACGAUUAUUGGGCUUAAAGCGUUCGUAGCCGGCUUAACAAGUCUUCCGUUAAAUCCAACGAUCUAAUCGUUGGGCUGCGGGAGAUACUGUUGGGCUAGGAGGCGGGAGAAGCCGACGGUAUUCUCGGGGUAGGGGUGAAACCCUGUAAUCCCGGGAGGACCACCAGUGGCGAAGGCGGUCGGCUAGAACGCGCUCGACGGUGAGGGACGAAAGCUGGGGGAGCGAACCGGAUUAGAAACCCGGGUAGUCCCAGCUGUAAACGAUGCGGGCUAGGUGUUGGGGUGGCCACGAGCCACUUCAGUGCCGCAUGGAAGCAAUUAAGCCCGCCGCCUGGGGAGUACGGCCGCAAGGCUGAAACUUAAAGGAAUUG
rnacentral:rRNA from 1 species